rnacentral:rRNA from 1 species
CGGCUUAACAUGCAAGUCGCGCGUGAAAGGACUUCGGUCCGAGUAAAGCGGCGCACGGGUGAGUAACGCGUGGAUGAUCUACCCAUGAGUUAGGAAUAACGGCUGGAAACGGUCGCUAAUACCGAAUACGCUCCGAUUUCAACUUCGGGGGAAAGGUGGCCUCUGCUUGCAAGCUACUGCUCAUGGAUGAGUCCGCGUCCCAUUAGCUAGUUGGUGGGGUAACGGCCCACCAAGGCGACGAUGGGUAGCCGGUCUGAGAGGAUGACCGGCCACACUGGGACUGGAACACGGCCCAGACUCCUACGGGAGGCAGCAGUGGGGAAUAUUGCGCAAUGGGCGAAAGCCUGACGCAGCGACGCCGCGUGAGGGAUGAAGGUCCUCGGAUCGUAAACCUCUGUCAGGAGGGAAGAACCGCCACGGUGCUAAUCAGCCGUGGUCUGACGGUACCUCCAAAGGAAGCACCGGCUAACUCCGUGCCAGCAGCCGCGGUAAUACGGAGGGUGCGAGCGUUAAUCGGAAUCACUGGGCGUAAAGCGCACGUAGGCUGCUUGGUAAGUCAGGGGUGAAAGCCCGCGGCUCAACCGCGGAAUUGCCUUUGAUACUGCCGAGCUAGAGUCCGGGAGAGGGUAGUGGAAUUCCAGGUGUAGGAGUGAAAUCCGUAGAGAUCUGGAGGAACAUCAGUGGCGAAGGCGACUACCUGGACCGGUACUGACGCUGAGGUGCGAAAGCGUGGGGAGCAGACAGGAUUAUAUACCCUGGGUA